GAGCGUGUAGCUCAGUUGGUAGAGCGUUCGCUUAGCAUGCCUGCGAAAGGUCUUGGGUUCGAUUCCCAACUCGUCCA